rnacentral:rRNA from 1 species
CCUACGGGAGGCAGCAGUGGGGAAUAUUGCACAAUGGGCGAAAGCCUGAUGCAGCAACGCCGCGUGAAGGAAGACGGUUUUCGGAUUGUAAACUUCUAUCAAUAGGGAAGAAAGAAAUGACGGUACCUAAAUAAGAAGCCCCGGCUAACUACGUGCCAGCAGCCGCGGUAAUACGUAGGGGGCAAGCGUUAUCCGGAAUUACUGGGUGUAAAGGGAGAGUAGGCGGCAAGGUAAGCGAUAUGUGAAAGCCUUAAGCUUAACUUAAGGAUUGCAUAACGAACUAUCUAGCUAGAGUACAGGAGAGGAAAGCGGAAUUCCUAGUGUAGCGGUGAAAUGCGUAGAUAUAUGGAGGAACACCAGUGGCGAAGGCGACGAUCUGGCCUGCAACUGACGCUCAGUCCCGAAAGCGUGGGGAGCAAAUAGGAUUAGAUACCCCGGUAGUC